GCCCAGGUGGCUCAGGGGUUGGGCACCUGCCUUCAGCUCAGGUCAUGAUCCUGGGAUCCAGGAUCGAGUCCUGUUUUGGGCU
rnacentral:tRNA from 1 species